CCUCGGGUGGCUGCAGUGGGGAAUAUUGGACAAUGGGCGAAACCUGAUCCAGCCAUGCCGCGUGUGUGAAGAGGUCUUCGGAUUGUAAGCACUUUAAGUUGGGAGGCGUUACCGACAGAAUAAGCACCGGCUAACUCUGUGCCAGCAGCCGCGGUAAUACAGAGGGUGCAAGCGUUAAUCGGAAUUACUGGGCGUAAAGCGCGCGUAGGUGGUUUGUUAAGUUGGAUGUGAAAUCCCCGGGCUCAACCUGGGAACUGCAUCCAAAACUGGCAAGCUAGAGUAUGGUAGAGGGUGGUGGAAUUUCCUGUGUAGCGGUGAAAUGCGUAGAUAUAGGAAGGAACACCAGUGGCGAAGGCGACCACCUGGACUGAACUGACACUGAGGUGCGAAAGCGUGGGGAGCAAACAGGAUUAGAUACCCCUGUAGUC
rnacentral:rRNA from 1 species